rnacentral:rRNA from 1 species
GAUGAACGCUAGCUACAGGCUUAACACAUGCAAGUCGCGGGGCAGCAUGGGGAUUGCUUGCAAUCCCCGAUGGCGACCGGCGCACGGGUGAGUAACGCGUAUUCAACCUGCCCUUCACCACGGGAUAACCCGGCGAAAGUCGGACUAAUACCGUAUGUUGUCCAUUGACGGCAUCCGAUUUGGACGAAAGGCUUGGCGGUGAGGGAUGGGGAUGCGUCCGAUUAGCCAGACGGCGGGGUAACGGCCCACCGUGGCUACGAUCGGUAGGGGUUCUGAGAGGAAGGUCCCCCACACUGGAACUGAGACACGGUCCAGACUCCUACGGGAGGCAGCAGUGAGGAAUAUUGGUCAAUGGGCGUAAGCCUGAACCAGCCAAGUAGCGUGCAGGAUGACGGCCCUAUGGGUUGUAAACUGCUUUUAUGCGGGGAUAAAGUGGCCCACGUGUGGGCUUUUGCAGGUACCGCAUGAAUAAGGACCGGCUAAUUCCGUG